GACACGGUACGCGAACUGGUAUAGCGACCGGCCUUAAGCCCCGGGGCUUGUGGGUUCGACUCCCACCCGUGUCAC
rnacentral:tRNA from 1 species